UACGUAGGGUGCAAGCGUUAAUCGGAAUUACUGGGCGUAAAGCGUGCGCAGGCGGCCAUGCAAGACAGAUGUGAAAUCCCCGGGCUUAACCUGGGAACUGCAUUGGUGACUGCACGGCUAGAGUGCGGUAGAGGGGGAUGGAAUUCCGCGUGUAGCAGUGAAAUGCGUAGAUAUGCGGAGGAACACCGAUGGCGAAGGCAAUCCCCUGGACCUGUACUGACGCUCAAGCACGAAAGCGUGGGGAGCAAACAGG
rnacentral:rRNA from 1 species